CCUACGGGUGGCUGCAGUGGGGAAUAUUGCACAAUGGGGGAAACCCUGAUGCAGCAACGCCGCAUGAAGGAAGACGGUUUUCGGAUUGUAAACUUCUGUUCUUAGUGAAGAAUAAUGACGGUAGCUAAGGAGCAAGCCACGGCUAACUACGUGCCAGCAGCCGCGGUAAUACGUAGGUGGCAAGCGUUGUCCGGAAUUAUUGGGUUUAAAGGGUGCGCAGGCGGUCUGUUAAGUCAGCGGUCAAAGCCCGGGGCUCAACCGUAAAAUUGCAAUUGAUACUGGCAGUCUUGAGUACAGUUGAGGUAGGCGGAAUGCGCGGUGUAGCGGUGAAAUGCUUAGAUAUCGCGCAGAACCCCGAUUGCGAAGGCAGCGUACCGGCUCCACACUGACGCUGAGGCACGAAAGCGUGGGUAUCGAACAGGAUUAGAUACCCUGGUAGUC
rnacentral:rRNA from 1 species